UACGUAGGGGCCUAGCGUUGUCCGGAAUUACUGGGCGUAAAGAGCUCGUAGGUGGUUUGUCGCGUUGUUCGUGAAAACUCACAGCUUAACUGUGGGCGUGCGGGCGAUACGGGCAGACUGGAGUACUGCAGGGGAGACUGGAAUUCCUGGUGUAGCGGUGGAAUGCGCAGAUAUCAGGAGGAACACCGGUGGCGAAGGCGGGUCUCUGGGCAGUAACUGACGCUGAGGAGCGAAAGCGUGGGGAGCGAACGGG
rnacentral:rRNA from 1 species